UGGGAAGCCGCAUGACUCGUGGACAGGCGGGGAAAAAGAAUUGUCACAUCUAUGUGGAUAACUUACCUUCAGGUAUCCCAACCAAGGACACUGAGGACGUGAUCUAUAAAUAUGGGCACUAUCUGUGACACGGACCUCAAGAAUCCCAUGGACCUCCCUUGGCCUUUGUUGAGUUUGAACAGCCACGAUGAGGAAGAUGCAGUGUAUGGUCUCCAUAGCUGUGAUUAUGACAGAUGCCUUAUGCUGGUGGAGUCUCCUACAAACGGCCUUGGCACAGGCCAAGGAGGCAGCGGAACUCCCCAAGGUUUCCAUGGCUCCCCUACCCAGGUGGUCUGAAAACAGAGUGGUUGUCUCUGGGCUGCCUCCAGGUGGAAGCUGGCAGGAGUUAAAAGAUCACAUGCAUGAAGCAGGUGGUGUAUGCCAUGCUGAGGUUUACCAAGAUGGCAUGGUGUCAUGAAGGAUGUAGAGAAAGAAGAUAUUACCUUUGUGGCUGGGAAGCUGGAUAAUACCAAGUUUAGAU
rnacentral:lncRNA from 1 species